GAGUGAGGCUGAUGCCGGCUAAGUUGGGGAACCACUGGUUUAAGAAAAGCAUGGGUCCAAAGUACAUGCCGGGACCUUGCUACGAAUGGAGGAAAAAAACUGGCAACACCAGCAGAUUGCAUCUGUAAGCCGGUAGAAAGCCUAGAGGCUUGAUGGGAUUCCGGUUUGAUUUCGAGACAAGAACAUUCUGCAAGUGGGAAUUGGAGGAGGGAGAGAAGAUAAAGAGAACUCAAAAGGAUAAGAAACAGCCACUGCCCUAUGGGCUGAGACACAGCAUCCAAGGAGGAGCCCCCUUGUUGGAGAGGGCGCUGCUUGCUGGAUGGCAGAGUAGUUCACUGAGCCCCUAUUUCUAGGGUAACUGUGCACUAGGGACAGGAGAUACUCAGCAAAAGCAUCGAGAAGCCAUCGUGAGACCCUUCCAUACUCUCUCCUUCCCUGCUGCACUGACUAUGGAGGUCACAUACUGAAAUAUCAGAGCAUCUGUCAUCCUGGGUUCCUGAGUGACAUCAUGGAGUCCCUGGCCAAUCCAUGUUGGACAUAGAACAUGAGUGAAAAAUAAACCUCUGUUGUAGUAAUCCACUGUUAUUUAAGGUUAAUGUGUUACCGCAACAUAGCCUAGUCUAUCCUCACUGAUACAGUGGUCUGAACUUUGAGAAACAAUGCUGUACCUUUUUCCCUCAUUGUUUUCAUAAAAUCCUGCAUCUUAAAUCUUUAUAGUGUUUGCGUAGUGAUGUCACAUGGAGGGUGUAGGAUUCUACUUAUUGCAAAUAUGAAGCAAAGAAAAACACAUCCAAUCUGCUGCUGUCUACAACUAUGAGUCCCCCCGAAGGAAGCAGAAGCUACCAGAACUCAAAGCACAAGUAAGCACUAAGGGAACUCUUGCUCCUAUGUGAUCAAAUCUCCACUCAGCAGCCAGAACGGUCUUAAGUGUUCAGUGGAAACAGAAAUUAAGUCACGUCACUUCCCUGUUCCCAUCCCAAUGGCUUCCCAUCCCACUCAAAACAAAAUUCAAUUUCCUACCAAGAAGCAAAAAAUCCCACUAGGGCCCUAUGUUCUGGCCUCUGUCUUUUCUAUUUCAUUUCCUAUGGCUCUCUGCCUGCUUCAUGCCACUAUAGUCACCUGCUCUUCCUGCUACUCCUCUAAUAUACAAAGUUUAUUUCCACGUCACGGCCUUUGUAUUGGUUGAUCUUUUUGUCUGAACAGCUCUCCUUGGGAUCUUUGCAUAGUUUGCUCCCCGAUUGCAUUCAGGUCUCUGCUCUCAUGUCCCAUCCUCAGAGGAGCCUUUCUGACCCUCCUCUUGUUACUCUCUACCCCCUUACCCUGUUUAAUUUUUCUUCACACCAUUUAUUGUUAGUAUUAUAUGUUCAUGUAAUAUAUAUUUAUGUGCACUUGUUAAUUACUUUCAUUCGACUGUAAGCUCGGUGAGAAUAGGGCCUAUAUUGUACUUGUUCCUUGCUA